UACGUAGGGUGCGAGCGUUGUCCGGAAUUAUUGGGCGUAAAGGGCUCGUAGGCGGUCUGUCGCGUCGGCUGUGAAAACUCGGGGCUCAACCCCGAGCCUGCAGUCGAUACGGGCAGACUAGAGUGCGGUAGGGGAGACUGGAAUUCCUGGUGUAGCGGUGAAAUGCGCAGAUAUCAGGAGGAACACCGGUGGCGAAGGCGGGUCUCUGGGCCGUAACUGACGCUGAGGAGCGAAAGCGUGGGGAGCGAACAGG
rnacentral:rRNA from 1 species